rnacentral:rRNA from 1 species
GACGAACGCUGGCGGCGUGCUUAACACAUGCAAGUCGAACGGAAAGGCCCUGCUUUUGUGGGGUGCUCGAGUGGCGAACGGGUGAGUAACACGUGAGUAACCUGCCCUUGACUUUGGGAUAACUUCAGGAAACUGGGGCUAAUACCGGAUAGGAGCUCCUGCUGCAUGGUGGGGGUUGGAAAGUUUCGGCGGUUGGGGAUGGACUCGCGGCUUAUCAGCUUGUUGGUGGGGUAGUGGCUUACCAAGGCUUUGACGGGUAGCCGGCCUGAGAGGGUGACCGGCCACAUUGGGACUGAGAUACGGCCCAGACUCCUACGGGAGGCAGCAGUGGGGAAUAUUGCACAUUGGGCGGAAGCCUGAUGCAGCAACGCCGCGUGCGGGAUGACGGCCUUCGGGUUGUAAACCGCUUUCGCCUGUGACGAAGCGUGAGUGACGGUAAUGGGUAAAGAAGCGCCGGCUAACUACGUG